rnacentral:rRNA from 1 species
GACGAGCGCUGGCGGCGUGCUUAACACAUGCAAGUCGAACGGUAAGGCCCUUCGGGGUACACGAGUGGCGAACGGGUGAGUAACACGUGGGUGAUCUGCCCUGCACUUCGGGAUAAGCCUGGGAAACUGGGUCUAAUACCGGAUAGGACCACUGCCUGCAUGGGUGGUGGUGGAAAGCUUUUGGGGAGUGGGAUGGGCCCGCGGCCUAUCAGCUUGUUGGUGGGGUGAUGGCCUACCAAGGCGACGACGGGUAGCCGGCCUGGGAGGGUGACCGGCCACACUGGGACUGAGAUACGGCCCAGACUCCUACGGGAGGCAGCAGUGGGGAAUAUUGCACAAUGGGCGCAAGCCUGAUGCAGCGACGCCGCGUGAGGGAUGACGGCCUUCGGGUUGUAAACCUCUUUCAGCACCGACGAAGCGCAAGUGACGGUAGGUGCAGAAGAAGGACCGGCCAACUACGUGCCAGCAGCCGCCGCCG